rnacentral:rRNA from 1 species
GACGAACGCUGGCGGCGUGCCUAAUACAUGCCAGUAGAACGCACAGUUUAUACCGUAGCUUGCUACACCAUAGACUGUGAGUUGCGAACGGGUGAGUAACGCGUAGGUAACCUGCCUGGUAGCGGGGGAUAACUAUUGGAAACGAUAGCUAAUACCGCAUAAUAUUAAUUAUUGCAUGAUAAUUAAUUGAAAGGUGCAAUUGCACCACUACCAGAUGGACCUGCGUUGUAUUAGCUAGUAGGUGAGGUAACGGCUCACCUAGGCGACGAUACAUAGCCGACCUGAGAGGGUGAUCGGCCACACUGGGACUGAGACACGGCACAGAAUUCUACGGGAGGCAGCAGUAGGGAAUCUUCGGCAAUGGACGAAAGUCUGACCGAGCAACGCCGCGUGAGUGAAGAAGGUUUUCGGAUCGGAAAGCUCGGUUGUAAGAGAAGAACGGGUGUGAGAGUGGAAAGUUCACACUGUGACGGUAUCUUAACAGAAAGGGACGGCUAACUACGUG